GAUGAAGAACGUAGCGAAAUGCGAUAAGUAGUGUGAAUUGCAGAAUUCAGUGAAUCAUCGAAUCUUUGAUCGCACAUUGCGCCCCUUGGUAUUCCAUGGGGCAUGCCUGUUCGAGCGUCAUUUGUACCCUCAAGCUCUGCUUGGUGUUGGGUGUGUGUCUGCUGCCCUUGGGCACGGCAGACUCGCCUCAAAGCAAUUGGCAGCCGGCAUAUUGGCCUGGAGCGCAGCACAUUUUGCGCCCCUUGCUGACUAUGUUGGCAUCCAUCAAGACCUUUAUAUCAGCUCUUGACCUCGGAUCAGGUAGGGAUACCCGCUGAACUUAAGCAUAUCAAUAAGCGGAGGA
rnacentral:misc_RNA from 1 species